rnacentral:sRNA from 2 species
UGCCGCAGCCCUUAAUCGGGCGUUUCCUCCCUUGACUUGGGCUGCUUCCCGAAACGGAAGCAGCCCCUUUUUUUUGCCUGC